UAAGCAUAAUAUUUCCAUUUUCUUACUUAUUUUUGCUAUUUGUUUGAAGUAUAUUCUGCUUCCUCAAUUUUUAAUAUGACUUGGAUAAUUUUAUUCAUAGAUUUCUUGGAAAGCUUUAGUUUAUGUGCCAGUUUUGUGUAUCUAUGGCAACACUCAAGCUGUUCAUCAAUUCUAUAAGUUGAAUACAUGUGCAAUUGGACUUUGUGUUCAA
rnacentral:misc_RNA from 1 species